AUGGAAACACCAGCUCCUCCUGAAUGUAUGACCUGCUUGGGUGACGCAUACAGGGUUUCUUGGAUGGAAGACAGUGAAACUCACAAUCUACACAAGGAAACCAUCAAGCAGCAGUACGAGGUGGUUAAAGCAAGAACGGCACCCCCAAAUGACUCCAAUAUCGGUUCUCAUGUCAUGGAGUAUGGUAACAAGACAUUCAAGGAUGACAAGCUUUUCCUUUAUCAAGGUUUCUAUCCUGUGAAGUCAAGCAUCACAAACAGGCCGCUGCUUUCGCCCAGCCUCAAGGGUGCAAUCAAUCAAAGAGAUGUUGAUAUUCUUUUCAUGUGGAAGAAGUAUGAGCAGUUAAAUGUUGGAUCAGAGGAGAAGCAGAGGGCUCUCACGGAGGUCAAAGAAACUGUGUUACACAGGAAGCAUCUCGACAGCAGUAUCGAUUUCAUCGGGAAGCUUGUCUUUGGAUUUGAGGGACCUUCGGUGCUUGAGGCUACUAAAGGCCCUGGCCAGCCAUUAGUAGACUAUUGGGAUUGUCUGAAGAUGAUGGUGCGAGAUUUCGAGUCCCGGUGCGGAUCACUCACUCAGUAUGGCACGAAACACAUGAGGGCGUUCACAAACAUCUGCAACAAUGGCGUCUCCGAGACCGAGAAGGAGGCCAGCAUCAGCGCUUGCGGAAGCUACAACAUGGGGAAGUGGAGCCCGCCGGUUCUAGGGCACAGCGCCUGA
rnacentral:rRNA from 1 species